GAUGAAGAACGUAGCGAAGUGCGAUAAGUAAUGUGAAUUGCAGAAUUCCGUGAAUCAUCGAAUCUUUGAACGCAAAUUGCACUCUCUUCGGAGAGUAUGCCUGUUUGAGGGUCAGUAUUAAUAAAAAUCGGCGUGUUGCUCUUUUGUAACGUUCCGGAGUUUGAGUUAUCUUAACUUUCUGGGUUUCAAGAGGCUUAAAAUUGACCUUUUUUUGUGCAUUUUAGACGUACAUAAAUUUUUUUUUAUUCGUUUAUCUUUAAUGCCAAAAUUUUAUUAGGUGCGACCAUAUCAUGUGGGUUCUGCAUCUAUAAAUUUUUCAUGAUUUGACCUCAAAUCAGGUAGGAACACCCGCUGAACUUAAGCAUAUAAUAAGCGGAGGA
rnacentral:misc_RNA from 1 species